GCCUUCCCUCCACCGUGUGGGGCUUCACAGCCAACACUGACCAAGGGCUGCCCCUGCAAGAGCUGGGUUUGGAUGCUUCCAUCGGAAUGAAGAUCCCUCCCAAGGUGGAGGGCGAGGGCUCAGCUGCCAGCCAGCAUGAACGUCAAGUCUCUAGCAACAGUAAUGCCUCCAGUGUCCUGAAGCAGAAGAUUCUGCGAAGAAAACUGCUGCGCAGCAAGUGGAGAAUAGCAUGCAGGUUCCCUGGCCUUCAAGCGUAGGGGACAGAGCACCAGCCUCGGGCUCCCCCUUCAGCCCCUCCUCUCAAGAGGAUCCCAGCCUGCUCCUGACUCUUGUCACCAUGUGGUCAUCCCUCCAGGCUCAGCCGUCAGCAGAACCCAACGAAGACCCACAUUUGAUCCCUCUGUCUCUCUCUCUGUCCCUCUCUCUAUCUCUCCUAUGUCUCUCCAUCUCUCCCCUGUCUCUCUUUCACAGUUAACGCAUUAUUUUCGGUACUCUGAAAAGAUUUUGCCAAUUUGAAGAAACCACAUCAUCAAAUUUACCUUUCCCACUAGAUGUAAACUAUCUGCAACAGAAAAUCCGGUUAAAGUCCAAACUGAACACUGCAGGGAUGCUUUGCUGAGAAUCAACAUCACAAUCACCAGCCACAAUCCAUGAUUUUUACUCCAAAGGACUGAUUUGAUGGGAGAAAUCCCAGGCAUCAGUCCCCAAAUGUGACCCAGUGCUAAGUAGACCAGUGCUUUGCUGGAUGCACAGCUGUGAGAGACUUUAACGCUUGCUUCUGUGAAUUGCCAUCCUGCACACACUGGCAUCUGGAGCAGCUGGAAGAAGGCAACAUGUCAGCCUGGACAAUCUUUGCCACCAGAUGGGCUGUGCUCGGUGCAGGUGGCAUUAACCAUGCAGUGUCCAUGCUGAAAAGGUUUCGCUUGAGUUUCGUCAUGAGGUAGUUAUCAGACAACUGCAGAAUCUAGACCACUGAACAGGACAAGUGGCCUGUGUUUUUCAAACAGGCGAUGCCUCCACAAAUUAGAUGACAGAAAGGAGAAGAGAUGUUUUGGGUUCCAAAGAACUAAAGAGAUUGUGCUGCUAUAUUUCUUUAGUCCUUUUGAACCCAAACCCUCUCCUCACCUUUCUGUGGUUGUCUUUAAUGGUGGUGACAUUGACUUGUGUGCAGAACACAGGUCAGUUGUCUGGCUCAAAGGUCUACAUUCUGCAGUUGUCUGACCCCUUCCUCAUCAUUAAACUCAGGCCAACCCGUUUGCCAAUGAUGCCACUUACUGAACGCUGUUUGCUUCCUGGCACAGCCCCUCUGGAGAGUAAGCACGUCCACUUUGCGUGUCACCACUCUUGUCCUCUUACCAUUGAACACUUCGUCAUGGAGGCAGGAGCCAGUGAGAUCCGUUCAUUGGAACACACGUUUCUCUGUGUAGAAUCAGUGAUUUGAUGAGUAGUUCUCUGAGAGUGAAUAAAUAUCUUAUUCUAUGAUUGUCGUUCUCUAAACUGUUGCCAUCCCUGAUCGAUCCCCGAAGUGUGUCA